AUACUUACCUGGCAAGGGAGAUACCAUGAUCAAGAAGGUGGUUCACCCAUAGCGGGCUCAGCCAUUGCACUGAGGCUGUUGCUGACCCGUGCGAAUUCCCCAAAUGUGGGAAUCUCGAUGCAUAAUUUCUGGUAGUGGGGGACUGCGUUCGCGCUCCUCCCCU
rnacentral:snRNA from 1 species